GGAAGGUCUUCCCCCUGUGUUGGGACCUGCUGUUGUAGGAAGCCCUCCAGCCUGGAGAUGAGCUCUCUCCAGAAGGACUUCCUGCACUGCUUUUGCGUAGAUCUUUCCGUUGGGCUCGGCACCUCUCUCUGUGAUAAUCGGGAAAGGAGAAGCAACAAGAUUGAAAGAGAGUCCUUGCAGUCCUUGCACUCUGCAGAAUGGGCCAUCAUGCUAAAAUGUCUCGAGUGCUCACGGUAAGGGAUCUUAGGAUCUUGGCUGAACGUUGGGUUCCCAGCACGGAUGUGCAGUGCCCUUUCCUCUCCCCUCCAUCGCACACACUGCCCUUCAUGCAGCCCUAUUUAGAGGCGCAUACCCAUAGCACAGCUCACAUGAGCUUCUUACCUGCGGAGGCUUUCCGUUUCCCCCCUUGCCCAGCACCACUCCAUGGACGCGCAGGAUCCAUCCCUACAGAAACAUUGUAAAAAAUCAACAACGUUGAUUUCACAGGCACCAGCAGGCAGCAGCAGAAAUAUCAUGCAGUAAGCCCACGUCCCCCCAGGAAACAGAAAGAUGCUUCUUUGACAGCCCAAACACAAACGGAUUGAUAGUUCACUUUGCACUGCUCCUUCCUGCACUCCAAAUGGAUGCUUACUUGACAUCCCCUACAGCACUGCACCCGCUCAGAAGGAAUACUCAAAAUUCAUUCCUCCACACUUUGCGACAGAGGGCUGAAGAAACUCACUUCUGUAUGGCAGGAAGGACCGUCCGUCCCUGUUGCGUCCCCCUGUGCGCUGCAAGGCGCGGUUGGAUCUCUGGCAGCCUGCUGGCUGCUGCUCCCAACCGCGGGGAACCGCACCGCGCCACUUCUGAAGAGAGAAAGGGAGAAACGGUGGUGGGAACGGGCAGCCAAGGUUUGCAGAGAGGUUCCAGAUCGUGCCACAGAUGGGAUAUCAGAGUGCUGUGACACUGAUUAUCACUAUGGGAAAAGACAGCCUGAGCCACGUCCACGUUGUUAGCCCAGGCUGUCAGCAGUGAGCGCUGAAUCCAACCGGUUCCUGAGGUCACCAAGGACCAGCAGGGCUCCCCCUGCUCCGUCCCUUCCCCUUGAAAACAAGGAAACGGAAGCACCAAGCAGAAGAGGCCCAGCCAUACCUUGCCACUCACACGGCAGGAAUUGGAACCGCGGUCGUCUCCUUGCUGAGA
ensembl:lncRNA